ACAAGCGGUGGAGUAUGUGGUUUAAUUCGAUGCAACGCGAAGAACCUUACCUGGUCUUGACAUCCCGGAGACCCUUAGGAAACUAGGGGUGCUUCCAUCUGGAAGAAUCUGGAGACAGGUGCUGCAUGGCUGUCGUCAGCUCGUGUCGUGAGAUGUUGGGUUAAGUCCCGCAACGAGCGCAACCCUUGCCUUUAGUUGCCAGCAGUUCGGCUGGGCACUCUAAAGGGACUGCCGGUGUUAAACCGGAGGAAGGUGGGGAUGACGUCAAGUCCUCAUGGCCUUUAUGACCAGGGCUACACACGUACUACAAUGGCCGAUACAAAGGGCAGCGACACUGCGAGGUGAAGCCAAUCCCGUAAAAUCGGUCUCAGUCCGGAUUGGAGUCUGCAACUCGACUCCAUGAAGUUGGAAUCGCUAGUAAUCGUGGAUCAGCAUGCCACGGUGAAUGCGUUCCCGGGCCUU
rnacentral:rRNA from 1 species